UAUAUUUAGGUAUAUAAAUCUAUUUCGAUUAUAUUCGGGUACCCAAGAUAUUUCGGUUCGGGCCAGGUUCGAUUUUGGCUCUUUAGAUACUAAAAUUUUGAACCCGUUCGGAUAUUUAAUCAAUUUCUGUUCAGAUUUGGUACUAUUUUUUCGGAUUGGGUUCGGUUCGGUUCUUCGGAUCUGGGUUCUUUGCCCAUCCCUAGCUAAUGCUUUGCAUAGAUUAUUAAACCUUAGUUUGAACUUUAUUAAACCCAAAUAGACCGAGACCCAAUUUUUUAAAAAACACAUGAACAUAACUAAAAUGUGAAAAGUAAUAACAAAGUGAUAUGGAAUGGAAUGGUUUAUAAGUAGAGAUAACAAAGUGAUUGGGCAUUAUUAGAAUAAUAUGGAACAGUUAUAAGAAAAAUAUAUAUUUGUUUCAGUAGGUAUGCGCAAGGUGCUUUACAUACCCAUAAAAAUCCAAAACGGAAAACCGUUAAAAACCAUAAUGCACUCGGGUCUUACAUUAAACCAGGAUUUAUAUUAAACCGAAAAUAUUGAACCGGAUAAACAAAGAGGACUGAAUUUUGAAAAAUUCGCAAGUCGAAAACCCUCCCCCAAAUCUGAAGCUUUCCAUCUCGAAGUCGUGAUGGGUUUCUUCUCAAUCAAUGUCGCUUAGUAUGAGAAAUGAAUUGACUCUGUUUGGACGCACUACAGGACUUUUCACCGCUGACAUGAAGCUUCAUCUUCACAAGCUUAGACUUUCCUCAACCAAAUGUUUGGGACCUGGACCGAUUCUCUCAAGUCUCUUCAGACAUGUGCGCAAGAGUUUGAUUACACUGAAGAUCUUCACACUCUCUCUAGGACAAGGCCAAGAAGCCUCAAGGUGUGGCUAUGGGAAGGCUCAUACUCAGUGACAACGGAGACAUGCAGAGUGAUGCUUAGUUGGAAAAAUAAAAUAUGCAGCUUGUAUGUACAGUAUAAAGUUAGCACAGUGACAUAUUCUGAUAGUCUUUUGAUCACAGCGAAUUAUGAAACUUCUGCUACAAGAUGUCAAGUUUGACACGAGGAAUAAUGAGAGUUUGCUAUAUAUCGUUGGUGUGCUAAUACUGGUUUGAGUUGGUUCAGUUUCGAAUGAGCAAAAGCGAGUUUCAGAAUUUCAGUGGUUGGGUUUGUCUAGUAGCGCACAUUUGUGGAGACUGUUAUCUGGAACUAGGGUUGAAGCUCUUGCUAAGAGAUGUUAAGAGAAAUAGAUGGUAUAAAGCAACAAACAUUCAAGCUCCAGCUGGGAAGAUUCAGAGGCUUCUGGUUUUGGUUUCCAGUACAUAUGAGAAGCUUACUUGCCCCUGAAACUGCAGCAGCAAGAUUGGCUCUGACUAACUAUACAUACCAGGUGCGGGUAUGGAGAGAAGUAAGAUCAAUCCUACAAAGACUGAUGGUAUAAAGAUCUCAGUGGAGAUGAUCCAAGCAAGCAAGAGACCUUGGCAGGUUUAUGGUCAUACCAGACAUUCUCAAGCAUACUCCAAUGUUCAAGCGCUUAGAUGCUAGAAUCAAGGUUUUACUCAAGGAAUCACUUCUCAACACCCCCUCUUGAUUCCUUGAGUUGUUGCCUCGGUUCCAGCUCAGAAUUUUAAAGUUUGAUACCUUUGAAGUGCCUCUGUUUUCUCCUUUGCUUAUUGAAGUUGCUUUGCUGAGAAGUCUCUUUGUCCUAGCUCCUUCUUGCAGACUUGUGGCUUGACAUACACAGGGGAAUUUGUGAACGUUGAGUAUGAUGAAUUGAUGAUGGAGGUAUGAAACCUGAGCGGCCAUCUGGUAGAGGGAGAGGUGGAGGAUGUGGUGGUCAUGAAAGAGGAUGUUACAGUGGACCUCCACCAUACUAUGAAGCUCAACAAGAUGGAGGAGAUUAUGGAUACAACAAUGCUCCUCCUCCACAAUACCAUGAGUAUUAUGAUCGUGGAUUCAACAGAUCAAACGGACCACCGAUUCAGGCAGCUGCUUAAGUGAAUGGACUUUGUUCUUUUCCUUCAUUCUCCACCUUUUGUCUUUGUUGUUGCUGUAACACAAUUUGUCUCUUUGAUUUUGCCUUAAGGUUUAUAUAUAAUAUGUUACAUUUAUUUUUA